rnacentral:tRNA from 1 species
GGGGGAUUAGCUCAAUUGGGAGAGCGCUUGGCUGGCAGCCAAGAGGUCAGGGGUUCAAAUCCCCUAUCCUCCA